rnacentral:rRNA from 1 species
GAUGAACGCUGGCGGCGUGCCUAAUACAUGCAAGUCGAGCGAACAGAUGAGGAGCUUGCUCCUCUGACGUUAGCGGCGGACGGGUGAGUAACACGUGGAUAACCUACCUAUAAGACUGGGAUAACUUCGGGAAACCGGAGCUAAUACCGGAUAAUAUAUUGAACCGCAUGGUUCAAUAGUGAAAGACGGUUUUGCUGUCACUUAUAGAUGGAUCCGCGCCGCAUUAGCUAGUUGGUAAGGUAACGGCUUACCAAGGCAACGAUGCGUAGCCGACCUGAGAGGGGGAUCGGCCACACGGAACUGAGACACGGUCCAGACUCCUACGGGAGGCAGCAGUAGGGAAUCUUCCGCAAUGGGCGAAAGCCUGACGGAGCAACGCCGCGUGAGUGAUGAAGGUCUUCGGAUCGUAAAACUCUGUUAUUAGGGAAGAACAAAUGUGUAAGUAACUAUGCACGUCUUGACGGUACCUAAUCAGAAAGCCACGGCUAACUACGUG